GCCUCAUCAACUGGCGUAACCCAGACGGCCACACAUCGUCUCUCUAUCGGUGAGUUGGCAUCGGACCAGCAGCUAAUUUUCUCCUCAAAACGACACUUCAGUUCAUGGUGCAGGGAGGCGAGACGACCUGGAGGAGAACCACAUGCUGUCGCUGCGGUACCGUUUCUACGGCUUCUUUGCGGCCUUAACAACCUCCAUUACGGUCAUCGCCCGGGGGUACUCAGUAACUUCUGGGUUUGGGAGGCCGCAGAGGCGCACAAGCCUGGGGAUGAGGGGUUGUGAUCUCUGGUCCCCCAAUUUCACCGACCUGAGGACCGCUGUGUCUGCACAUGCCAAGAACAACCUGCCUGCCGAGCAGCGGAAGAUGGUGGCCACCUUGUGUGCCACAACACGGCCACAGCUGACUGCUUCUAAGCCCUCAGCUUGAACGUGGCCCAGUCAAAGAGGAUAAGGGAGCAUUUCCACCAGGCCCUCACCCCCACUGGCCAUCACCAGCGUCAACAGAAGCGUCCUCCUCCAGUUCCGAGGACGAAACACCUGUCCCCUACCAGGAGUCAGGGACCUCGGGACUGGAGGAGCAGAGGGAGUUUAUGGCGAGGCUGCAAAAUACACCAGAGAAGGCCCUCAGGACGAGCCAGUACGGCAGGCUGAUGGUGGUGUAGACUGCGUUCGAGGCUCAACUCCACCUGUCUGAAAAGAUUUCGGAGAGGGCGAGAAGGGCAGCGUAUUGGGUGCAGCCCAGCAUCCCUAGCCACACAGACUCUCUCGCUCACACACACACACACACACACACACACACACACACACACACACACACACACACACACACACACACACACACACACACACCCACGUAAAUAGUUGUUUUAUUGUGUUUUAUAGAUUGGUUCAGAUUAAUUUUGUAUUAUAACAUGUUCUUUUUUAGUACUUUAAGAUUCCUUUUUUAUUAGAUGUUCUUUUUUAGUAGAUGUUAAGAUUCAUUUACUUUUAGUGUGUUUUCAAAUGUUGUUCAAUAUUGGUAUGUGUUUAAUACAAGUUCCUUUUUACUUAAAAUGUCAACUAUAAUACUGAGCACGCUUAGCCUAAACAUGAAGCUAGGAACACCAAAUUGGUCAGGUAUUCUCAACACAGGCCCACCUUUUGAGUUUGAAAAGGUUCAAGGCAAUUUGUAGCUUGAAACAAGCUCCAAAGUAACAGAGUUAAAAAGACAAACAGCCAGAGAACUUGAGACCGAAACCAGCCAGGGCCAGUCUUAACUGUUGAAUGUAUAAGGAGCACAUAUGCAAAUAAAAAGCAUUACAAAAUUCA